rnacentral:rRNA from 1 species
GACGAACCGUGCGAACGUUAUUCGGAAUCACUGGGCUUAAAGGGCUCGUAGGCGGCCAACUAAGUCAGACGUGAAAUCCCUCGGCUUAACCGGGGAACUGCGUCUGAUACUGGAUGGCUAGAGGUUGGGAGAGGGAUGCGGAAUUCCAGGUGUAGCGGUGAAAUGCGUAGAUAUCUGGAGGAACACCGGUGGCGAAGGCGGCAUCCUGGACCAAUUCUGACGCUGAGGAGCGAAAGCCAGGGGAGCAAACGGG